GAUUAGCUAGUUGGUGUGGUAACGGCACACCAAGGCUACGAUCAGUAACUGGUCUGAGAGGAUGAUCAGUCACACUGGAACUGAGACAACGGUCCAGACUCCUACGGGAGGCAGCAGUGAGGAAUAUUGGGCAAUGCCCGAAAGAGUGACCCAGCAACGCCGCGUGGAGGAUGAAGGUAUUCUAUAUCGUAAACUCCUGUGAGAGCAGACGAAAGACAGAUUAUUAAUCUGGAUGACUGUAUGCUCAGAGGAAGCCCCGGCUAACUACGUG
rnacentral:rRNA from 1 species